rnacentral:lncRNA from 1 species
UGGGGUGGUUGAGAGCUGUUUGAAUCAGAUUUUACAACAGCUCUAGUAGUGCUGUGUGUUUUCACAGACUCGUUGGGAAGGAUUUGUUUUUCUUUUCUUUCCUUUUUUCUUCUUUCUUUUGUUUUACUUGGCCUGGACUCUAAUUUUGGAAUUAAAAUAAAAUAACAAUUAAAGCGCCGCAAUUAUCCCCUGGAAUCCUUCAUUAGAGAUUCCUUACCCCUCUUUACAUGUAACCUCUCCCGUUAUCUCCAAGGCAGCAGCUGGGCGA